AACAUAGAAUGCAAUUUGGCCCGAAGGAGGGGAGUUCAUCCGACCAUCGGAACCAGGAGCGAAGAGUUGAUACUGCUCCGGGAUACGAUAUUGCUCUCGGAGCCGUUCAACAUUGGAUUCGGAUAGAGAAGAAGCCUAUACUUUCGAAUCCGAAGUAAAGUCGUCGGUCGGAUUUUCCGACCAAUUAUCCUGAGAAGAAGAAGCCCUAGCCAUGAAGAUGGAAAACUAAAGAAAACCCUAAAAUGAAAACUCAAAAGGAGAUGGACUCAAGGAGAAGGAUGAGAAAACUUGACCUGAAAGCCAAAAAAGGAGGCGGAAAAGAGACCCUGGAGCUCUGGUACUGGGCGAUCUUCCGGCAGAACUUUCUGCAGCAGAGAAUGGUGAC
rnacentral:lncRNA from 1 species